rnacentral:rRNA from 1 species
UACGUAGGGGGCAAGCGUUGUCCGGAUUUAUUGGGCGUAAAGAGCGUGUAGGCGGCUUUACAGGUCCGUUGUGAAAACUCGAGGCUCAACCUCGAGACGCCGGUGGAAACCGUAAAGCUAGAGUCCGGAAGAGGAGAGUGGAAUUCCUGGUGUAGCGGUGAAAUGCGCAGAUAUCAGGAGGAACACCCGUGGCGAAGGCGACUUUCUGGUCUGUAACUGACACUGAGGCGCGAAAGCGUGGGGAGCAAACAGG